AAGCGAACCCCUCUCCCCCCUCUCGCCCCCUCUCCCUCUCCCUAUCCAUCCCAUCCUCUCCCCCGACCCCGCGCACCCGCCAGAGAAGCCGCCUCCAUGGCCUCCCUCGCCGCCGCCUCCGCCUCCACGGCGCUCCUCUUCCCCUCCACCUCCUCCUCCAAGCCCCGCCUCCCGCUCUCCACAUCCCUUGGCUUCUCCGCGCCCGCGCGGUCACGCCGCGCCACUGCGGUGGCGGGGAGCUCCGGCAGGCGCCCGGGGCUGCUCGUCGUGCGCGCCGCCAGGGGCAAGUUCGAGCGGAACAAGCCCCACGUCAACAUCGGCACCAUCGGCCACGUCGACCACGGCAAGACCACCCUCACCGCCGCGCUCACCAUGGUGCUCGCCUCCGUCGGGGGCAGCGCGCCCAAGAAGUACGACGAGAUCGACGCCGCCCCUGAGGAGCGCGCCCGUGGUAUCACCAUCAACACCGCCACCGUCGAGUACGAGACGGAGACGCGCCACUACGCGCACGUCGACUGCCCCGGUCACGCCGACUACGUCAAGAACAUGAUUACCGGGGCCGCCCAGAUGGACGGCGCCAUCCUCGUCGUCUCCGGCGCCGACGGCCCCAUGCCGCAGACCAAGGAGCACAUCCUGCUCGCCAAGCAGGUCGGUGUCCCCAGCAUUGUUGUUUUCCUCAACAAGAAGGACCAGGUCGACGACGAGGAGCUGCUCGAGCUCGUCGAUCUCGAGGUCCGCGAGCUGCUCACGGCCUAUGAAUACGAUGGUGACAAUGUGCCAAUCGUCUCCGGCUCUGCACUCAGAGCGCUCGAGGCCCUCAUGGCCACCCCUGGCCUCAAGCGUGGGGAUAACGAGUGGGUGGAUGGCAUCUUCUCCUUGAUUGAUUCCGUGGAUACCCACAUCCCUGUCCCGCAGAGGCAGACCGACCUCCCCUUCUUGCUCGCUGUUGAGGAUGUUUUCUCCAUCACUGGUCGUGGUACAGUUGCCACUGGCCGUAUCGAGCGUGGCACCGUCAAGGUUGGGGACCCAGUCGACCUCGUCGGCAUCAGGGAGACCCGCAAUGCCACGGUCACUGGUGUUGAGAUGUUCCAGAAGACCAUGGAUGAUGCCAUUGCUGGGGACAAUGUUGGGCUUCUGCUCCGUGGUAUGCAGAAGGAAGACAUUGAGAGAGGCAUGGUGUUGGCAAAGCCCGGUUCCAUCACGCCACACACCAAGUUUGAGGCUGUUGUGUAUGUGCUCAAGAAGGAGGAGGGUGGCCGGCACUCCCCAUUUUUCCCUGGUUACCGUCCGCAAUUCUACAUGCGGACUACUGAUGUCACGGGGAAUGUGACAAACAUUAUGAACGACAAGGAUGAGGAGGCGAAGAUGUGCAUGCCAGGUGACCGUAUCAAGAUGGUUGUGGAGCUCAUCCAGCCUGUGGCUUGUGAGCAGGGAAUGAGGUUUGCCAUCCGUGAAGGUGGCAAGACCGUCGGUGCCGGUGUCAUCAAUAAUAUCAUUCAGUAAUGUGGAUGGAGGAUAUCCACCGUGAGAAUUUUCCUCAUUUACUCUUUUGCGAAAUGCUAUGUAGUUGUUAUUAUGCGUUUAGGGAAGGCUCUUGUGAAAUUGUAGUAUGGCACAUUUUUCUUCAAGUGAAAUUGCAUACUUUGUAGUAUUCACGACAAAGAUACAUCUUGAUCUGCCAUCUGUCGUUAUGUGCUUGACUGUUGGCCAUUUUGUUUUCCUCUUGUUGAUAUGCUUGAAGACGAUUCAUUGUUCUUGGGAGCUUGAUGCUGCAGGGACUGGUUGAGUUGGAGGUAUACGGUUAUGGCUUAUUUAUUUACUGCUUCAUAUAUAUAUAUAUAUGUAUGCUUGCUUGAUAGAUUUAUCUUGAAGCUAUUUGUUGGUACUCCCUCCGGUCCUAAAUAUAAGUCUUUUGGAGAUUUCAGUAUGGACUACAUACGGAUGCAUAUAGACAUAUUUUAGAGUGUAGAUUCACUCAUUUUGCUCUGUAUGUAGUCCGCAUCGGAAUCUCUAAAAAGACUUAUAUUUAGGAACAGAGGGAGUAGUUCAUAUUGAUUUUCUGCUGGUUAGCAGCUUAACCUGCAGCAAUCAUGUGUGUGCUCAUAUUUUUCAAUGCAAAAACAGUUUCAUGUGUUGGUCAUUGUGUUAUAGCAAGGCGUGCUCAUCGCAGUUCAUAUCGAUUUUCUGAGGGCAGGCCUGGCGCAGUGGUGAAGUCCUCCCCACUUGUGCCAAGAGGUCCUGGGUUCGAACCAGCCUCUCUGCAUUGCACUUUGCAGGGGUAAGACUAGGUUCCUAUAAUCCCUCCCCAGACCCCACCUUGUGUGGGAGCUUCUAUGCACUGGGUCUGUCCUUUAGCAACUUAACUUGCUGCAAUCAUCAUGCGUCUGCUCAUCUGGGUCAAUGCAGAAAGCAGUUACGUGUAAGGUUAUGUUACAAGGCUUGCUGAAUUUUUGGUCAGUGCGCUAUAGCAAUUCGUACCAUUUCAAGGUGGUCAUCUCAACCUAUGCACUUCCAAUCAUAACAAUCUGUUGCGUGCAUGUUUCCCAGCAGAUGUGUUGCUUCCGGAUGUUGUGUUUCCCAGCAGAUGUGUUGCUUCCGGAUGUUGUUUCGUUUUGUUACGCGUGUUCCAAAAUGCAGACUCAAUCUUUUGUACCUGUCUUGUGGUGCAGUUCCAGUUUCUAAUAAUGCCUCUUGUGACAUCCGCAUGGUUGAUUUGAACUCCAUUAGCAUCACCCUGUGUUUUAUAGUGGAGGUACAUGCUGUGUAGUUGUGACUGACGCUGGUCUAGCACUAUAGAGAAGACCAACCACAUGUUCAUGAAGCAGGGAGUAACAGCUGGGAACAAGUCGCUCAAGAAUUGUAAGGUGUUCAUCUCUUUUUAGCAGUGUGAGUAUUGUCAGCAAAAUGGACAUGUACCUGGAGUCGCUUCUCAUCUUUGCUGUUUUAAGGGAAAGCCAGCCCUGGAUGUUUUGUCCCCAAUUAAACAAAUGUUUUGAUGUGCAUAAAUGUGUAGUGUUUUCCUGAGAAGUUCAGUGCUCUUUAGUCUUCGUCACUGUGCUGCUUAGCAGAUUGCCGUGGCGGAGCACUGCUGCUUGGCAUGCCGUCUUCCCUUAUUUUGCUGACGCUCUGUCUGAAAGUCACCUGCUCACCAGCAGAAAGAAAGAAGCCGACUUUGAGGUUCACCAAAGCAAUCCUCCAUGUUCGUAUCCAGCUCCCAUUUUGAUGUUCACAGAAAUAGCAAAUUGAUGAGAGGUUCACUCCAGAGUCUGCAACUAAUGCUCUAUUUCCUGUUUAGUUGCUGGGGGCAGCUGUAGGUUUUAUCAUGUAAUCUGCUACUCUCUCUGUUCACUUUUAUAAGACCUUGAAGAUAUUUC
rnacentral:rRNA from 1 species